GACAGCUCAAUUGGUUAGAGAGUGGUGCUGUUAACAACAAGGCUGCAGGUUCGAUUCUCUGUGUGGGACA